rnacentral:pre_miRNA from 1 species
UUUUGACUUUUAGAUUCAUUCAAUCGAUGAUGUAUGUGGUUCAUAUUAUAGAGCACAUACAUCAUUGAUUGAAUGAACCUAAAAAUCAAA